CAGCACUCUCUCAAAAUCCAAACUGUGCCCCGUGGCCCAAAAAGCAAAAGCAAUGGAAGAUGGGGUUUGGCAAUGCAGAGAACAGCAGUGAAAUGGAUACAAAAAUAAUGGCGUAAAUAAUGCCACCAUGGCUCCCGGGGAAUAGGAUAGUCUAUAAAUCUAAAUAAAAGAAUGAACAAUAUG